CCUUCGCUUUGCGUCAGUCUCCGUCCUUUGAUCACGAACGCUAACUCGGUUUUCUUCAGUGAUCAACAGAAACCAUCAGUUGCUAGGGAAUAGUCCUUACUAGGACCGGAGUAAUCCCAAAAAGAUCAGCAGAGAGCAGUGCUCUUUCUUGAAGAAAUGCUGGGAGAGGGUCUGGGUAUGAGAAUGUUAGCAGAGAAACAUGGAAGGGACCAUCUUAGGAUCCACAACCUGGCCACUCCUUGAAAGACAGUCCUCCAGGCCCUGAGGCAAAAAGUGAAUCCUUCACUUGUUAUUCCUCAUUCUCUGGACCAUCAAAGUCCCACAAAUAUCCACAACCUGGCCACUAAUUGGAAGACUAUCCUUCAGAUGAUGAGUCAGAAAGUGAAUAUUCUGAAUCAGAAAAUUCCUAUUACUCCUCAUUCUCUGGUAAGGAGAAAGGAAGGGCAUUUCAAGUCCAGGCAGAUGAGGGUCUGAAUAGAUCUAUAGACAUCCAGCUCAACAUCUCUCCAAAGCCAGAGGGAGAAAGGUACACAUGAGGCCCAGUUAUAAUCUUUUUCUCUGCCCUGAUUUGGGAAUAUGAGGCUCCUGUUCUGUACCCUCAAUAGGAACUCAUUACAAACACUUUUCACAUUUAGUGGGUAGAGAGGAACUGUGUGCCUAUAUUUUGGGGGACAAUAUCAUUUAUUGAGGGAAGAAGGAGAAUUCUUAGACGCGGUGUUCACAAUUGCUGUAGUGUCAGUUCAACUUAAAAGGGGAGAAUAAGUGUAAAAUUAAACCAUAGCUUGUGGUACUCUAGAAAUAGCUGACUGUAGAAUACGUAAAAGCUCCGAAUUGAUAGUCAUCCAUGUUAAGUGUCCUAUGGUAAUGACUUCCUGAACGUGAACUCAGCCUAAAACUACAAAGCACACAAUCUAAGUCAGAUUAUGCAAACACUGAGCAUUUAGGUUUAGCAUCAAAGAAGAUCAUUUAAUUGAACAGUACUAUAGGGAUGGUAGAUAAGAAUGUUUAUAGUUAUUAAAGAUGUAAUGUCAUAAAACACUACCAAGAAAAAAUAUUUAAAAAUUCUAAAGUUUUAGAGGAGAAAAAUAAUGUUCUAGAAAGUAUAAAAAAUGUGGAUGAGUUAAACAUCACAUUCAACACAAGUGAAAAGAAAAUUUAUGACUUGGAAGGAUAGAGCUAGGGAAUUAUGUACAAAUAUAAAUCAGAGAGAUGAAUAGAAUAUGAAAGAGGGAUUAGGAUAAAUGAGGAUAAAAUGUGAAAGUAUGACAUAUCAAACUGAGAUUUGUGAAGAGUAAAAGAAAGUAAGACAAAUAGAUAAUUGCCAAUUUUUCUAAAACAACAGAAGAUA